rnacentral:rRNA from 1 species
GUAAGGGAAAGUGGACACAGGUGCUGCAUGGCUGUCGUCAGCUCGUGUCGUGAGAUGUUGGGUUAAGUCCCGCAACGAGCGCAACCCUUGUCUUUAGUUGCUACGCAAGAGCACUCUAAAGAGACUGCCGGUGACAAACCGGAGGAAGGUGGGGAUGACGUCAAGUCCCUCAUGGCCCUUAUGGGUAGGGCUUCACACGUCAUACAAUGGUGCAUACAGAGGGUUGCCAACCCGCGAGGGGGAGCUAAUCUCAGAAAAUGCAUCGUAGUCCGGAUCGUAGUCUGCAACUCGACUACGUGAAGCUGGAAUCGCUAGUAAUCGCGGAUCAGAAUGUCGCGGUGAAUACCGGUUCCCGGGUCUU